rnacentral:rRNA from 1 species
CCCUUAGAUGUUCUGGGCCGCACGCGCGCUACACUGAUGCAUUCAACGAGUUUCUUCCUGGUCCGAGAGGAAUGGGUAACCUUUUGAAAGUACAUCGUGAUAGGGAUAGACUAUUGCAAUUAUUGGUCUUCAACGAGGAAUUCCUAGUAGACGUAGUUCAUCAGACUGCAUCGAUUACGUCCCUGCCCUUUGUACACACCGCCCGUCGCUCCUACCGUUCGAAUGCUCAGGUGAGCCAUUCGGACUUUCAUCAUGCUGGUUUCCAGUUUUGAUGAAGGAAAGUCUUGCGAACCUUAUCAUUUAGAGGAAGGAGAAGUCGUAACA